UUUCCCCCCAAACCCAUUUUCCCCCCAAAUCUCUUCCUCCCUCAACCCCAUCUACCGCCACCCACGACCACCACCAUCAUCGAACACCCACGAGCCCGCCAUCAGUACGAACGUAUAGCAGCACGUCGGCUCCAUCUCCGUCUCCAUCUCCGGAUCCAGCUCCAUCUCCAUCUCGACCGGUGCGGUGGGUCCAGCUCCAUCUCCAUCUCCGGAUCUCCGUGAAGCUCCACCGUUUGUUCUCCAUCUCCAGGCAACACUCUCAUCGUUGGAAAAAUCAGACAAUUAGAUGGACUUGUCACCGUUGGUAUUGGGGAAUACAUGCGAAGAUGAUCAUUCAUUGACACAACUUCCAAUUGAUAAUGUUUUGCCCCUUGAAAUUGACUCUCAAAAUGAGUCAGAAGAUAAUGAUGUCAAUUGCAACAACGAUAUGAAGCUCAUAGAUGGAGUUGAAAAUGUGGAGGACCCUAAAGAAGGAAUGACAUUUGACUCUUUAGAUGAACUUGCUUCUCAUUAUAGGACAUAUGCAAAGCAACAAGGUUUUGGGGUGGUAAAAAGGAGCAAAAAAAAGCAUGCAAGUGGGCAUACACGUUACAUUACCCUAGCAUGUGCACGUCAAGGCAUCAGAAAAGCCA